rnacentral:rRNA from 1 species
UACGGAGGGUGCAAGCGUUGCUCGGAAUUAUUGGGCGUAAAGCGCAUGUAGGUGGUUUCUUAAGUCUGAUGUGAAAUCCCUGGGCUCAACCCAGGAAUUGCAUUGGAUACUGGGAGGCUAGAGGACAGAAGAGGAUGAUGGAAUUUCUGGUGUAGGGGUGAAAUCCGUAGAGAUCAGGAGGAACAACGGUGGCGAAGGCGAUCAUCUGGUCUGUAUCUGACACUGAGAUGCGAAAGCGUGGGGAGCAAACAGG